GGGUGUGUAGUAUAGCUUGGACAAUGCGCCUCCCUGCGGUCGAGGAUAUCGCCAGUUCAAAUCUGGCCGCACCCGCCA
rnacentral:tRNA from 1 species